rnacentral:rRNA from 1 species
UACGGAGGGGGCCAGCGUUGUUCGGAAUCAUUGGGCGUAAAGGGCGCGUAGGCGGCCGAGCAAGUCGGACGUGAAAUCCCCCGGCUCAACUGGGGAACUGCAUCCGAAACUGCUUGGCUUGAGUCCUGGAGAGGGUAGUGGACUUCCCAGUGUAGCGGUGAAAUGCGUAGAUACUGGGAGGAACACCGGUGGCGAAGGCGGCUACCUGGACAGGUACUGACGCUGAUGCGCGAAAGCUAGGGGAGCAAACAGG